GAUGAACGCUAGCUACAGGCUUAACGCAUGCAAGUCGAGGGGAAACGAUAGAGAAAGCUUGCUUUUUCUAGGCGUCGACCGGCGCACGGGUGAGUAACGCGUAUCCAACCUGCCCACCACUUGGGGAUAACCUUGCGAAAGUAAGACUAAUACCCAAUGACGUCUCUAGAAGACAUCUGAAAGAGAUUAAAGAUUUAUCGGUGAUGGAUGGGGAUGCGUCUGAUUAGCUUGUUGGCGGGGUAACGGCCCACCAAGGCGACGAUCAGUAGGGGUUCUGAGAGGAAGGUCCCCCACAUUGGAAACUGAGACACGGUCCAAACUCCUACGGGAGGCAGCAGUGAGGAAUAUUGGUCAAAUGGACGAGAGUCUGAACCAGCCAAGUAGCGUGCAGGAUGACGGCCCUAUGGGUUGUAAACUGCUUUAUAAGGGAAUAAAGUGAGUCUCGUGAGACUUUUUGCAUGUACCUUAUGAAUAAGGACCGGCUAAUUCCGUG
rnacentral:rRNA from 1 species